rnacentral:lncRNA from 1 species
AGGGGAUCUUGUGAUUUCUUUAGCUGUUCAGAGUGAAGUCUGUACAGCUAGCACUGUAAAUCCUGCUUAGCCGAGGGAAGGCGUUAGGGUGAUAAGUCACAAAUAAUCUAUAGGUAUAGUCUCUAUAGCUGGUAUCCUUAGAUCUCUUGCCGAACGAUUGAUGACUGAUUCUGCUCUGUCUUUUACUGUAUUCGAAAUGGG